UCGAGCGGGGAGAGGUGCUUCGCACACUGAUCCUAGCGGCGGACGGGUGAGUAAUGCUUAGGAAUCUGCCAUUUAGUGGGGGACAACAUUCCGAAAGGAAUGCUAAUACCGCAUACGUCCUACGGGAGAAAGCAGGGGAUCUUCGGACCUUGCGCUAAAUGAUGAGCCUAAGUCGGAUUAGCUAGUUGGUGGGGUAAAGGCCUACCAAGGCGACGAUCUGUAGCGGGUCUGAGAGGAUGAUCCGCCACACUGGGACUGAGACACGGCCCAGACUCCUACGGGAGGCAGCAGUGGGGAAUAUUGGACAAUGGGCGGAAGCCUGAUCCAGCCAUGCCGCGUGUGUGAAGAAGGCCUUUUGGUUGUAAAGCACUUUAAGCGAGGAGGAGGCUACCUGGAUUAAUACUCUGGGAUAGUGGACGUUACUCGCAGAAUAAGCACCGGC
rnacentral:rRNA from 1 species